rnacentral:misc_RNA from 1 species
AAGUCGUAACAAGGUUUCCGUAGGUGAACCUGCGGAAGGAUCAUUAACACGUAUCCAACGUUAAAACAACCCUGUGAACCUUCAAUUUGCUCGCGUGGCUCCAUAAAAAAGCAGCAAUCCCUACUGUAACGCCGACAGGUCGCGAUAAUUCCGCUGACCACAAAAAAUCGAACAACUGUUAACAAUGGAUAUCUUGGUUCUC